UAUUGUUUAGAAUCUGGACCAUAGUAGAUACGGAGAAAGGGUCUACAGGUGGUUGUGAAGUCGCUGAGCUCGCAGAGCCAUCACCAGAUGGACUUGAUGACUUAACUUUUAGAAAAUCUUGUAUGGCUCUACAAGUUUCAGCAAAACUGGAUUGGUUACUCUUUCUUCUCCGCUUACUAUUUGGAGUUCUAUCCAAUUUGUGCUUCCCACGAGCUGAAGUUCCAGUAUCGUCUGUUGUAAAAAGUCUGUUACCACUGUGGUAUCCAAAGAAAUCAUUUGCAUUGCUACCAUCAUAGUCACCACCUGCAUUGACACCAUCUGCAUCGCCACCACUAUUGUCACCACGUACAUUGUCAUUACCAUUGUCAUCAUCAUCCGACAGAUUGUCUUCUUGAGCACAUCCUACGGCAUGAUCCCCAGUAGCAUAUGUACCACCAAAAACAAUACAAAGCUCAGGAUAUUGAGGAAAUCCAUUCUUCCUGAAUCUUGCCCACUCGACAUUAUCCUACAAUUUUUACAAUAAUGAUAUUUCAGCAAUAUAAUCAUACAUUUUAAAAUUGACAUCUGUAAUGAUAUCAAAAUGACCACAAAGUUAAGAAAUACCUUGAUAUGAGAUUCUCAUAUACUUGGAUCGUCAACAACAACUCUUUUGUUGACAUUAUCCCAACCAAAUCCGGACUGAGAAAUGAGUUUGUGAAAACUGCCAUACUGUUUUUUCAGUUUGUUUACCUUGUUCCUCAGCUGAACCAUGGUAAAUUGGAAUCAUGUCUGUCUAUUGAGUUCAGACUGUACAUUCCUCCACCCCGCUUUGUUGAAAGUGGAAGAGGCGCGGUUUCCCUUUUUGACCUCAUCCACCAAUAAACCGAUAAGUAUAUUGGUUACAGACUCUAUCCACUUUGCAUUGAAUGAGUGUCUCUCGGAUGCCAUUGAAUCUUCGACCGGUUGAGCAUCACAUGAGUUAUGAAUUAAAUCAUUAACAUAAAACCGUAAGAACUACACGCCAUACACAAAAUUAGCAUGGUAACCUAUAUGGAUCCGUAUACCCUAUCCUAUUUUGUGAAUGGUCCAACUAAAUUAUAAGAUCUCUAAGAUUAAGACAAUGAAAAAAGAAGCCGAGAGGCCAACCUUAGCGUGCGGAUGAUUGUUUCCAAAUUCAGCAAAUUGCGAUUUAUGUAGCAGGGACUGGCAAAUUCCGGACAGAGCAAGGGAAAAAGAAUAUGUCUUCGUGGAUUGGCACCAGCAAGGCGGAACUUUGGAUGGAUCCACCGAAGUUCUCAAAGCAUCAGCGUCGAUAAUGGAUCCAUCGAAGCAUUAUAGCCAUAAGAUACCAAGGAUCUCGCAUAAUGUAUAAUCCCCAACAUUCCUACCAAAAAAAGUCGAACAACGUUGUUCUGAUAGAUUCACAAAGAAUGCACUAAAUGAACAAGUCGACAGCUAUGCGGUCGCAUAUGAAAAAUGACAUGUUAGGGCACAAAGUUUUCACUAGCCAGUUGUCGCGACCUACCCUCAGGGGGAGGGGAGGAGAAGCAACACAGAAAACACCAGCACAAAACAGAGCGAGGGAGAGAAUCGAGCCACUCUCUUCUCUUUUUUUUCUUUUCUGUUCUUUUCUUUUCUUUUACUUUUAUUUUUCUCCUCCCCUUUAGUCUACCCCUCUACAUGUUCUCUUCUUCGGGCGUCAUCUUCUUCCUUUUGUCUUUUUCACUUUUAACACCCAUUUUUUUCUUUUUCUUCCUCGACUUCCGAUUGGAUCAAAAUGUGGCUGAGCCGCAAGGAGUCAUAGAGACACACAGAAAAUACUAAUAUUAGACCAAAUCCAAGCAAUACAGGACAAAACGCGAAUUGAGAAGCUUUAACACAAAGGCAGAAAAAGAAAUAACAAUAACUUGGACAUUGAUUCACAUCACUUUGAUAUAUUCAGCCACAAAUCCAUAGUGAUUCACAUCACUUUGAUAUAUUCAGCCACAAAUCCAUAGAUCUACAUGAUGUCAUAGAGAUUGAUAUUAAAGAAACAAUAAUGUAUAGAACUCUGACACUGAUAAAAGGCUAUUUCGUCAUGCCCGAUGUUGUCAAUUGACAGUCCACACACAAUGAAAAGUGUAGCAGAGCAGAUGCUCGCUUGGCAACAAUAACUUCUCUGCUCGCUGCUGCGAGCAGAGCAGGGCUCGCUGAAGCAAGCGAGCAGACGCUCGCCGCUCUGCUCGCUCGAGCGUGAGCAGUAGCAAGCGAUGCUAGCCCCACCUGUCCAAGGCAAAAGAAGAUUUAAAGAGACACAUAACAGAAUUCCACCCGAUCCCAGAAAAGAUGUAACCUUGGAAGUUGGACAAUAGUUUCAAAUCGGGUAUCAGAGCUUUGGUUCAAUGGCUCCUCGCCGUACAAAGGCCGUUUGGGAAACCUUAGCUACGGUGAGAGAUCAAUGAGACAUCGAGAUGGAGGAAUUCAGAAAUCAAGUGCAGUAGCUUCAAAAACGUUUGGAGCUCUAUGAGGCUCUAGAGCGCAAUCAACCGCAUCGUGCCUCUGAAGAUGAAGAAUCAGUCUGCUCGCUCGAGCGUGAGCAGCAGCGACGCUCGCUGCUCUGCUCGCUCGAGUGUGAGUAGCAGCAAGCGAGUAGACGCUCGCUGCUCUACUCGCUCGAGCGUGAGCAGCAAUGACGCUCGCUGCUCUGCUCGCUCGAGCGUGAGCAGUAGUGAGCAAGCUGCUCAUCUAGGCGAGCGUAAGCCUGCUGGUACACAUCUCGAGCGAGCAGACGAGCUGCUGUCGCAGAUCUGGGCGAGCAACACUCGCCCAGAUCUGCGAGACUCGCUCGAGCAAGCGUCUCGCAGAUCUGGGCAAGCGCUGGCUCGAGCGAGCCCUCACACUCGAGCUCCGACCAGCCAUCGCCCAGAUCUGCGAGGGGUGGCUCUUGCCGAAGUGAAGACAAUCGGUGAAGGAGGAGCAGUGACCAGGUUUACCUGGUGAAGGAGCAGCGGCUGUCGGCGCCGGAGAGGACGACGGUGGAGAAGGCGGAUGCUCUCGAGACAGAGGCCGCUGUCGGCGCUGGAGAAGACGAUGGACUUCUCUGCUCGCAGGAGGAGACGCUCAUCGCAGGAGGAGACGCUCGUUGCUCAUCGCAGGAGGAGACGCUCGUCGCAGAAGGAGAGAGGCAGUGUUCGAAGGGAGCAAGAAAUAGAAAAGGAACACGAUUUUGUUCUUUUUUUGUUCCUCAAAUGUGUUUCAGAAAUAAGAAACACAAAUUUUAUGUUUCUUAUUUCUGUUUCUUUUUUGUUCCUGAGAACAAAAGAACAAAAAAGGAACAGAAACGCACCCAAACGUGUUUCUGUUCCUUUUUUGUUCCCAGGAACAAAAAAAAACAGAAAAAGUGUUUAAAAACAAAAAAAAGAAGUGCAAACAAACAGAGCCUUAGUAGCCGGAGUUUGUAGAGGCCGCAGGAACGGGUUGUCGAUUGCCCCUUUUUGCAAGAAUAGUGCGCCCGUCUUCUACGAGCCAAACCGAAGCCCUAGCUCAUCGAUUGUGCGAUUCAUUUCAGGAGAAAGCAAAAACCCAUGAGCCAAAGCCCAUGGGCCCCGCAAAAUAUGAUUGAAAAUUGUUGGAUGUAAUUGUAGGCUUAUAGCCCGAACGAGAGAAGUGAGUAUGAAUUAUUGCCCACGCGAGGCCAAGUAGCUAAGCUGAUUAGGCUUGCCCCAAAGCCCAUCGCAGAAAAAUCCCUCCCUUCUAAGUGGUUGUGUUAUCCCCCUUCGCCUCUUUGGAAUAUGUUAUGUUCUGAGACUCGUCUAUCAAGUUCCAAAUACUAUAAUUGUCUUGUGUUAUCCCGCAUAGUGAUGGGAGUUAAUAUUCUCAAAUAUUUGGGGUGAAGGUUAUGUUUAGUGUGUACCACACUAGAAUGAUAGACAACAUCUUAUGAGAAGGGUAUGUAGCUUGAAAUAAUUCUACGGAUAGUUCCUCACUUGCAUAUGAAGAAAGGAGAAGACAGAUUCGGCCAUUUACUACGACUUGAAUAGAAUCAGAUUGUACUACUGAGGAUUAUCGGCAAAAGAACGCUUCAAGUGCCAUAACUUUGACCAAAUGGACACUUAAGUGCCAUAACUUACGAAAGGUAUAUUUAAGUGCCAAAUUCGAAAAAAAACGAAUCACUUGAGUGCUACUCCGGCCAAAGUCCGGCUAAAACGCCAACGUGGCGUUUUUCCGGUGAAGUGCGCCCAAAACGACGCCGUUUUGCACGCUGACGUGGCAAAAACGGCGUCGUUUUGGGGCUGACGUGGUAAAAAGAAAAUUAAAAAAUUAAUUAAAUUAAAUUUAGUUAAAAUAUUUAAAAAUAAUAAUUUUAAAAUUAAAUUUAUUUUAAAUAUUUUAAAAAAUAAUAAUUUAAAAAACUUUAAAAAACUUUAAAAUUUAAAAAAAAAAAAUUUAAAAAAAGGGAAUGGGGGAGGCGGCUGAGGGAUCAGCCCUCAGCCGUCGCCGCCGCUGCCCUGCCGCCGCCGCGCCCUCCCCAGCGACGGCGGGGGGAGGCUCCCCCCGGGGUCGCCGGGCCCUGGCCAGGGGCCGACGACCCCAGCCGAUCGACGGCGAGGGUCGCAGCCCUCGCCCAGAUCCAGCGAGGGUCGACGACCCUCGCCCGGCCGGGCCAAGGGCCGCCGCUGAGGGAUCAGCCCUCAGCCGCCUCCCCCUGUUCCCUUUUUUUUUUUUUUUUUUUAUUUUUUAAAAGUUUUUAAAAGUUUUUUUAAAAUUUUAAAUGAUUAUUUUUUAAAAUAUUUUAACUAAAUUUUAUUUUAAAUUAAAUUUAAUUAAUUUUUUAUAUAUUUUUUUCCACGUUAGCCAAAACAACGCCGUUUUGGCCACGCUUCGCCGGAAAAACGCCACGUUGGCGUUUUGGCCAGAUUUUGGCCGGAUUGGCACUCAAGUGAUCCAUUUUACUCCGAUUUUGGCACUUAAGUGUACCUUUCGUAAGUUAUGGCACUUAAGUGUCCCUUUGGCCAAAGUUAUGGCACUUGAGGGGUCCGCGAGUCGAGGAUUAUCCAUGACUAAGGGGAUAGCAAGAGGACUUGCCUAGCCUAGCCUAGCACUCGUCUUCAUCAUCUAGAUUGACAUCGAUUGAUGCAAGUUUUGUACAAAUAGUAUUAAACUCAUUUAAGUGCGAAGAAUAUGAAUCACCUUCACUCAUCCGAAAAUUGUAGAGUCGCCUCCGUAGAAAUAGCCUAUUCACAAACAAUUUGUUCUGAUAAAUGUUUUCCAUUUUCGUCUACUCCCCUAUGCAACGAAGACUUCACCAAUAGAUUAAUGGCAUAGUUCCAUUUUUCCAAUCAAUUAAUCAAGUGAUCUCAUUCAAUAAAUGCCUAAUAUGUCUUUCUGAUCUCACAUCACUCAUGCAUGGGCUAUUUGCGUCAGUAAAAUAUUAAAUUCUCAAAAUGGUCUGGAAUAUCAUCAAAAUAUUACAUUUUGAUACGCCAUUUUGAUGAUCUCCGCAGCUCAUGGUCUGACCAUAAAAUCGAAUUGAUUACUUUCACACAUAGGAGCAAAGUAAAGAAUAAGAUGCAUCGGUGAGAUUGUUAUAUUUAAUGAUUCGAUAGAUUUCACAAGUAAAGAACUUUAUUAAGUUACUUUUCUAAACGAAAUUUAGUUUUCUAUCACAAUUAUUCUACUUUCUCCCGUCUCACGGUCAAAAAGUCGCACAAGCAAAGAAUUAAACAAAGCUUGUUGGAGACAGGAGAGGCCAUACCAAGAAAAGCAUUAAAACGAUAUGUUCCAACAAAAAUCCAAGCAAACAAGCCAGCAUACACACGCAGGCUUGCUCGAAACAAACACAUUGAUCAGGCAUGGCUGCUUCCAACACGAUAACAUACACGUGGGCUGCUGAAGCCGCCGCCGAGAUCGUGUCCCAGAAAUUAGAGAUGUUGCUCUCUCACCCGGUGUGCCUAAGGUGCUCAUUGACGGAACCGCUCGCGAAGGAGGCCAGGGAGAAGCUGGCCAUGAUCCAAGAGUUCUUUUCCACGCGAGACAGCUUGUCCCCGAGCACCGUGAGGUGGUUGGGGCGGCUCCUCCAAGCCAUGUACGACGCCGAGGAAUUCAUCGACAAAUUCCACCUCAGAGAGGCCCGCGGAAGGCACAAGGCCCUGCACAUUGCCACGAGGCCGCCCACCGCGCUCAUCUCUAGGUGCAAGCUGCGGAGGAACCUGUCCAAUCUGGUGAAUAAGAUGCGGGAGUUGUGUCAAGAUCAGUGCUUCACAGGCAAGGAGGCCAAGGGCAAGACGAGGAAGGCCUCCUCUGCUAGUGUUCCUGGGCAAGACGAGAAACAGGAGAGGCUGACUAGUUUAUGGGAUUGGCAAGCGUCGAUUAACUCCUUAUGGCGGGAGAAAAAGGAGGAAAUAAAGGAGAGGAUUGGGGAGGGACCGAAAUCGGGGAAUCUCGGUUGGACUUUAAUUAGGGGUGAGCCAGGUGCCGGCAAGACGUCCGUCGCGAGAUGGGUCUACAGGGAAGCGAUGUACCUGGGCUUCAAGUGGCGUGCUUGGGUCCACCUCUCGCCCAGCAUGGACAUGCAGGAGUUCUUGUUCGAGGUACUGAAGCAAAUUAGGAAGCUGGCGAGGGAGCUGAAGGACAUGAACUUGCAGGAGAUGACGGAAAUCCACCCCCAUGACUUGGCCAAGUGGAAGAAGUUCCUCAUCGUGUUGGAUGGCGUGCACACGUCCAACGUGCAACUCUUGGGAGGGUUAGCGAGAAUCCUGCGUCAUGGGCAGGGCCACAUAAUCAUCACGACUCAAGACGACCUCAUAGCCAAUACCAUGGGCGGUUUCGAAAAGCCGAUCGAGCCGAAAAAAUUGAACCAAAAAGAAAGCCGGGAAAUGCUCUCCCUGAAGUUGCGUGGAGUGCCCGACGUUCAGAAGCUCUCGAAUGAGGAGGAGGCUAUCCUAGAAACGUGUCAGGGCUCGCUGCUCCGUAUAUCCUUAAUUCUCGGAUUUCUGCCACAUGCUGGAAAGCAGGAACGCGCGGCGUUGGCGAAAGAUGGUUCUAAGAUGUCAUUAUUAGAUCUCCUGAAGUUGAGUUACCAGAAAUUGCCGGCCCCUCUGAAACCGUGUUUCAUCUACAUGGUUUUGUUCCCCCGAGCAACCCCGAUUCGAACGAGAAAGCUAGUGCGGCUGUGGUUGGCUGAGGGCUUAUUGGAUAUGCAUUGUUGUGGUGGAGAAUGGAAAACGACAAGGGCGCCCGAGGAUGUGGGAGAGACUUUCAUUCUGGAGCUCGCGGAAAGGAACAUGAUCGAUGUGGCGAGCUGGAGGGCAGAUGGAUCCCCCAAAACUUGCCACAUGCUCAACUCUCUGUAUGACGUGAUCCGCCCGAUCGCGAUGGACACAGGGUUCCUCUACGUGCAUGACGCUAGGAAGUCGAAAGACGAGAACGACCACUACCCAACUGGCCAGCAACAAGAGCUGCUGGCACAACCACGAGAAACCAAGGUCCGGUGGCUUGCAGAGCACACAAACAUAGUCAGAGACAGCCGCAGCGGCAGCAACCCUGAUUUGAACCUCCGCUACGUCCGCUCGUUUCUGUCGUUCUUCAUGAGGAGAGGCAUGCUCACCAAGGAUAUCAGCACGUUUCUUAGGAAGAUGACUUCCAAGACUGCCUAUAGAUUGCUGAGGGUACUUGACUUGGAAGGUGUGUAUAAGCCAUCCUUGCAUGGUGUGCUCCAUAAGCUGGUGCUCUUAAAGUACCUAGGUUUGAGAUCCACGGCGUUGCCCUCAAUCCCAAGAGCAGUUGCGGAUCUGCAAUACCUUGAGACUCUUGACAUAAAGGACACCUACAUCACUUCCCUGCCGAAUUCCUUCUGGAUGGCAAGGAACUUGAGGGCACCUGCAUCUAAACUGNNNNNNNNNNNNNNNNNNNNNNNNNNNNNNNNNNNNNNNNNNNNNNNNNNNNNNNNNNNNNNNNNNNNNNNNNNNNNNNNNNNNNNNNNNNNNNNNNNNNGUGUGCGAAGCUAACUUAUUUAGUGUUUCUGUUUCUCCAGUGAUGAUGACACCAAGGCAACGGCUCUUCUUGAAUACAAGCUUCUUUUUCUCGCUGGUUGCCUCUCACGGCCUCUCUAGCUUCCCCGCCGGUCGCCAACUCCACCAGUAGCUACCACUGCCGGCCUUCCAUCUCUGAUUACGAAAGACGCCCGAAGCUCGAACCUGGAGUCCCCUGGAUUUCUCUCUCGCCUGAGGUAACAUCUUUGUCGAUUUGAGUGUUCAAAUGUCUCCGCCUGCUCGCAUUAGCGUCUCCAGCGGCCUACCCGUAGUCCGUACUGAAUCAUCUCCUAUUGCUAUGGUAAACAACAUCAAGAGUUGCGCGAAUAGGCCGGUGGAUUCAUCAGCGUAAAUGCUUCUUUGAGAUUGGAUAUAGAAGCUCGAGGCCUACAAGAGUCCCAUCGUCCCUAGGCGUCGAAUUGUGAAGAGGCUCAUGUCGUUGAUUUUGAUAAUCAACUCCGGCUCUAUUUUUUUUUUUGAUCGAAAAUAAACGACUUGCUAUUGCUUACUUAGCCAUUGUUUGAGUCAAUACAUCAAAAGCAUCGGUGCAUAAUAAGUCUAGUAAAGCGGGCGGGGGAUGAAACAACCAAUUUGGGGGAAGGUAGCUACCGCGACAGGCCUUUGCGAGCCAAUCAGCGGGCCGGUUGGCUAUUCUAUUGCAAUGGGCCAGGGAUAUGUCUCUAAAGGCCUGCAGUUUCGCUCGGGCCCGGUCCAGGAGUGGUUGAAGUUGCCAGUGCACUACCGUUGAUGCUGAAACUCCUUGCAUGAGUGAAAAGCAAUCUGUCUGUACUUGCAGGGAUAGUUCCGCACGAUUGGAAAGAAGAUCUAGGGUUUCAAGCAGAGCCAAAGCUUCUGCCUGUUCUGCCGAAGCCGCCUCCACCAAGCUCGCAAAGCCGUCCACCAUACAUCCUUGGUAAUCCCUGCAGAUGCAUGCUACAGCUGCUCUGUUUCGUGUUGUUCCGCUGGCUUCUGCUUCAGAGGCGUCAAGCUCGACGAAAGACACAUCUAUGUUGACUUUCAGAACAUGAGGGGGCGGAGGUUGCCAACGAUCCGGUAUGGCUGUGAACUCCCUUUCUUCUACUUGUUGUUGGGUCGCGGAUUUACACGAAUCGUGGAGAGCUUGGGCCUAACUAACAACUUGUUGCGGGUGCAGGGGACGCCUCUCGAAGAGGAACUGAUUUCGCCCCUUCCAGAUACUCCAUAGAACAGCUGCUACCUGAUCGAACUUGUUACUCUGGUGAGGGUUGGUUUUGAGUUUACCUAACCACUCAUCGAGGCGGGUUAACCCAUAUCUGGAUAUUUUGAUCUAUAGAGGUGCGGAGCGCCAAAUCCGAGUUGUCCAUGGAUAGAGUAGAAGAAGAUGUUUGAUGGUUUCAACCUCUUUGCUGCAGAUGGGGCAAAUAGGAUCCGGUACGAUCCUUCUUCUAUAUAAGUUUUCCCGGGUUGGGAGAGCGUUUUGAGAGGCUUGCCAGAGGAAGAAUAUGAUUUUUGGGAGGGUUUUUGCUUGCCAAAUAUGUUUCUAUAGAUCUGGAUUGAUGCGAUGCGAUGAGGUUGCUGCUUGGCCUAUGCUUGGUGAGUUUUCUCUGACUGUAUAAUAGCCACUUUUCACUGAAUAGAUACCAGAGUUAUUGUGUGGUCCAGACUAGCUUGUUCUGUUGAAUCUGGCCUUCCGAUAGGUGUUGCAAGAAUUCGUAGCGAUUCUGUCAUCAAACAUCGAUUCCACUAGCUGAACAUUCCAUUUGAUAUUCCUUUGUUGAAUUAGUGCUGCGACAUGUUCUAGUUCGUUUCUUGGUGCCGGGCCUCCAAUCGGACCACUUGUUAUCCAUUUAUCAGCUCUUAUCGAUAAUUGUUUUCCAUUCCCAACUGAAUACAUAAUAUGUGGCCUGAUAGAAUCCCUGCCCCGAGUUAUACUUUUCCAACCCCAUGAAGGUCGGGAUCCAUUUCCAGCUUUCCAGAAGUCUCCAUGAGGGUAAUAGAGACCUUUCAUUACUCUGCUCAAUAAGGACUGAGAGUUUUGUGAGAUGCGCCACGCUUGUUUCCCCAACAUAGCCAUGUUGAAAGCAACUAGGUCUUUAAAACCUAGGCCCCCCUCCUUCUUUCUGAGUUUCAAUGCUUCCCAUUGCUUCCAGUGUAUUCCAGCAUUUCUACUAUUUGUUUUCCACCAAAAGUUAGCAAUCUGCCCCUCAAUAGCUUUGCAAAUAGAGAUAGGGAUCUUGAAAAUGGACAUGGCAUAUUGAGGGAUGGCCUAUACAACUGAUUUUAUCAAUAUUUCCUUCCCUGCUUUUGAUAACAAAUGUUCCUUCCAGCUUUCUAGCUUUCUGUUUACCCUCGCAAGGAUCCAUGCGAACAUGUCUUUUUUUGAGCAACCCCAAUCUGUCGGGAUCCCUAAAUAUUUCCCUGUUUUUUCAAUUUCUGGAACUCUUAGUUCAUUGGCCAUAUUUCUCCUCAAGGUAGUUGGACAACAUUUGUUAAAGUAUAUACCAGAUUUGUUUAGAUUAAUAGUCUAGCCAGAAGCAUAACAAUAUUCAUGUAAGAUAGCCGCCAAGUUUUGGCACUCUAGGAUUGAACCAUGGAGGAAAAAAAUUGAGUCAUCCGCAAAAAGCAAAUGCGAGAGGGUGGGGCAGCUAGGAUUCAGCUUGAUUCCUCUGAUAGUGCCAUCUUCAACUGCUUUUCUCAUCAUGUAGGAUAAAACAUUGGCUACUAAUAUGAAUAGAUAUGGGGAGAGCGGGUCACCUUGGCGAAUUCCACGUGUUGGCUUGAAAUAAAGUAGAGACUCCCCAUUAAAGUUCACACUGAAAGUGACGGUUGAGACACAUUGCAUCACCCAUUGUACCCACUGUGCGCAGAAUCCCAUUUUAGUUAGGCAUGCACUGAGGAAAUCUCAUUCAAUCCUGUCAUACGCCUUCUACAUAUCUAGCUUUAAGAGUGCCUGAAACUUCUUUUUUCUCUCCCGGGUGCAUAAUCUGUGUAGCACUUCCUGUACCAGCAAUAUAUUAUCUUGUAUCAUCCUCCCCUCCACAAAUGCAGCCUGCUCUUCAGCAAUUAGAAUUGGUAGCAGGGGUUUUAAUCUAUCGGUUAGCACUUUUGAUAUAAUUUUGUAAAUGAAAUUGCAAAGGCUAAUUGGGCUAUCUCAAUCCAUUACGCACCAAAUUCUUUCACGCUACAACCAUUCAACGAAGAUCCCGAAAUCAGAUUUCUCUGCUGAAAAAUCCAGAAGAUGAAUGGGUGCGUAAUGAAUAGCAACUGUUCCAGCUUUUCUGGAUUUGGAACUUUGGGAAUAAGGGUAAUAAGCGUGCUAUUCAUAGCUGGAUUGAGAUAGCCCGUGUUGAAAAAUUCCUGUAUCUCUGUAUAAAUAUCCUGGCAAAUGUCUGGCCAGUGUGUUUUGAAAAAGAGACCAUGCAUACCAUCCGGUCCUGGGGGCCCAUAAUGUUCUCUAGUUCUGGGCUAUAUAACAUGUGAUCUCUUCCAUAGAGACAAGUUCUACUAGUCGUUGGUUCAUGGCGGCAUCCACCGAAGCUGGUAUUUGUUGUAGAAGGGGCUGAAAGUUUCGUGGCCUUGCUGAUUCAUACAGCCUUUUGAAAUAUAUGCUUGUCAUCUCUUUCAAUUGCUAUUCAUUACGCACCCAUUCAUCUUCUGGAUUUUUCAGCAGAGAAAUCUGAUUUCGGGAUCUUCGUUGAAUGGUUGUAGCGUGAAAGAAUUUGGUGUUUUUAUCUCCCCAAGCUAACCACUUUAUUCUGGAUCGCAUUCCCCAGUACAUUUCUUCUUGUCGCCAUAACUGUUCAAUUUCUUUUGUCAGUGCCUUGGCUGCCUUGUUUUCUUGAGAGACCCCUGUGUUGUUCGUUAAUUGUUGCAGCUCGCUGUUUAGCCAAGUUAACCUCCUCUUUGCAUUGGUAAAUUUUCCUUGACUCCAUUUUACCAACUUUUUUGCCACAUUCUGCAGUUUCUCAACCACAUUGAGCUGUUGGGAGUCGGGAGCAUUCCAGGUGUCCCUGACAAGGCUCAUGCAUUCCUCCUCUUCUGCCCAAAGGGCUUCAUACUUGAAGUUCU
rnacentral:lncRNA from 1 species